rnacentral:rRNA from 1 species
UACGUAGGGGGCAAGCGUUGUCCGGAAUCAUUGGGCGUAAAGAGCGUGUAGGCGGUCCGGUAAGUCGGCUGUGAAAGUCCAGGGCUCAACCCUGGGAUGCCGGUCGAUACUGCCGGACUAGAGUUCGGAAGAGGCGAGUGGAAUUCCUGGUGUAGCGGUGAAAUGCGCAGAUAUCAGGAGGAACACCGGUGGCGAAGGCGGGUCUCUGGGCCGAUAUUGACGCUGAGGAGCGAAAGCGUGGGGAGCGAACAGG